UACAGAGGGUGCAAACGUUGUUCGGAAUUACUGGGCGUAAAGCGCGUGUAGGCGGCCCGGAAAGUCGGAUGUGAAAGCCCUGGGCUUAACCCAGGAAGUGCAUUCGAAACUCCCGGGCUUGAGUUCUGGAGAGGAAGGCGGAAUUCUCGGUGUAGAGGUGAAAUUCGUAGAUAUCGAGAGGAACACCGGUGGCGAAGGCGGCCUUCUGGACAGUGACUGACGCUGAGACGCGAAAGCGUGGGGAGCAAACAGG
rnacentral:rRNA from 1 species